AGCGUUUAGGUUAGGGUUAGUGUUAGUGUUAGUGUUUGGGUUUGGGUUAUUUAAAAAUAUUUCUAAGUACAGAGUAUGAAAAGUGCCUUUGACUUCAAUCUUCAAACAGAUGUAGAAUGGAUUUGAAUAGAGAUAUCUUCUUAAAAUUAACUGUUCCUAAAAGAUGAUAUGGUGAUCUAGAGGAUGAAAACUUAUUGGUAUCACUGAAGUGUACGGCCGCACUUUCCUACCUCACGGAACAAACG
rnacentral:lncRNA from 1 species